AUAACAUGGGACGGAGACACUGGGUCAGGACCACCAAAUGCCAGCUGCUAGUGACCAGCCUCUUUGUCAUGCUGCUGGGGCUGGCAGUCACCAUACUGACCGUUAUCACCCGCUAUGGGGCUCACUUCAGUAUAAUCAGUGAUGUCUCCUAUGAGGCUAACCCCUAUAGAAUCUUCCACAACGUAGCAUUCUACAGUGGGAUAUGUCUGAGCAUGAUACUGGUCCUCGC
rnacentral:lncRNA from 1 species